UGGCCGGUACAGAGAGCAGCCACCCCGCGAGGGGGAGCGAAUCUACAAAACCGGUCUCAGUUCGGAUCGCAGUCUGCAACUCGACUGCGUGAAGCUGGAAUCGCUAGUAAUCGCGCAUCAGCCAUGGCGCGGUGAAUACGUUCCCGGGCCUUGUACACACCGCCCGUCAAGCCAUGGAAGUCUGGGGGACCUGAAGACGGUAACCGCAAGGAGCCGUUAAGGGUAAAACAGGUAACUAGGGCUAAGUCGUAACAAGGUAAC
rnacentral:rRNA from 1 species